UACGUAGGGGGCGAGCGUUGUCCGGAAUCACUGGGCGUAAAGCGCACGUAGGCGGCUUUGCAAGUCGGAUGUGAAAUCCCUCGGCUUAACCAAGGAAGUGCAUCCGAAACUGCAGAGCUUGAGUACUUAAGAGGAUCGCGGAAUUCCCGGUGUAGAGGUGAAAUUCGUAGAUAUCGGGAGGAACACCAGUGGCGAAGGCGGCUCUCUGGACCGGUUCUGACGCUCAGACGCGAAAGCGUGGGGAGCAAACAGG
rnacentral:rRNA from 1 species